GACAUGAGUAACGAUAAAGGGGGUGAAAAACCUCCUCGCCGGAAGACCAAGGGUUCCUGUCCAACGUUAAUCGGGGCAGGGUAAGUCGACCCCUAAGGCGAGGCCGAAAGGCGUAGUCGAUGGGAAACGGGUUAAUAUUCCCGUACUUCUUACAAUUGCGAUGGGGGGACGGAGAAGGCUAGGUGGGCCUGGCGACGGUUGUCCAGGUUCAAGUGCGUAGGCUGAAGAGUUAGGUAAAUCCGGCUCUUUCUAAGGCUGAGACACGACGUCGAGCACCUACGGGUGUGAAGUCAUUGAUGCCAUGCUUCCAGGAAAAGCCUCUAAGCUUCAGAUUGUAAGGAAUCGUACCCCAAACCGACACAGGUGGUCGGGUAGAGAAUACCAAGGCGCUUGAGAGAACUCGGGUGAAGGAACUAGGCAAAAUGGUACCGUAACUUCGGGAGAAGGUACGCUCUCGACGGUGAAGUCCCUCGCGGAUGGAGCUAUUGAGAGUCGCAGAUACCAGGUGGC
rnacentral:rRNA from 1 species